rnacentral:rRNA from 1 species
AGUCGUAACAAGGUCUCCGUUGGUGAACCAGCGGAGGGAUCAUUACCGAGUUUACAACUCCCAAACCCCUGUGAACAUACCACUUGUUGCCUCGGCGGAUCAGCCCGCUCCCGGUAAAACGGGACGGCCCGCCAGAGGACCCCUAAACUCUGUUUCUAUAUGUAACUUCUGAGUAAAACCAUAAAUAAAUCAAAACUUUCAACAACGGAUCUCUUGGUUCUGGCAUCGAUGAAGAACGCAGCAAAAUGCGAUAAGUAAUGUGAAUUGCAGAAUUCAGUGAAUCAUCGAAUCUUUGAACGCACAUUGCGCCCGCCAGUAUUCUGGCGGGCAUGCCUGUUCGAGCGUCAUUUCAACCCUCAAGCCCUCGGGUUUGGUGUUGGGGAUCGGCGAGCCCUUGCGGCAAGCCGACCCCGAAAUCUAGUGGCGGUCUCGCUGCAGCCUCCAUUGCGUAGUAGUAAAACCCUCGCAACUGGAACGCGGCGCGGCCAAGCCGUUAAACCCCCAACUUCUGAAUGUUGACCUCGGAUCAGGUAGGAAUACCCGCUGAACUUAAGCAUAUCA